rnacentral:ncRNA from 1 species
CUAUGACACGUUGUCAUGGCGGAAGGAG